CCCCCUCUCUUGCCCUCCACCGUUCAUCAACGGCUCGAGCCUCACCCUCGGCCUCCUUCUAACGUACAUAGCACCAACACCUUUCGGUCCGUAGAUCUUGUGCCCACUCAUCGACAUGAAACUAACGUUCCACUUCUCAACAUCAACAGGUAUCUUCCCUAUAGCUUGAGCAGCAUCGGUAUGAAACGGGAUCUUAUGCUCCUUGCAAAUCCUACCAAUCUCCUCCAUAGGUUGCACCACGCCAAUCUCAUUGUUCACAGCCAUAACCGAAACUAAACCGGUAUCCGGUCUAAUAGAAUCUCUCAGCAUCUCUAAAUCAACUAAACCGUCGGUUUUAACCGGCAAGUACGUUACCUCGAAGCCUUCCUGCUGCAAAUGCCUGCACGAGUCGAGAACGCACUUGUGCUCAGUCUGCGUGGUGAUCACGUGCCUCUUCUUGUCCUUGUAGAAGUGCAUCACGCCCUUCACCACCGUGUUGUUCGCCUCCGUGGCGCCGGAUAAGAACACGAUCUCCUUCGGCGAGGCGCCGAUGAGCUUCGCGACCUGGAUUCGAGCCACCUCGACGGCGUUCUCCGCCUCCCAGCCGUAGAGAUGCGUGCGCGAGUGGGGGUUCCCGUAGUCGUAGAUGGAGCAAAUUCCCAGCAUACCGACUCUCCAACGAACCGUUCACCACAACACCAUCAAGCUUCUCUCUAACCCCAUUCAACAACCUCUCCUGCAACCUCUUAAUCCACUUCUCAUCAUACUCCAUCUCCUUCAUCGCCAACUCACAAGCAACCCCAAACCCAACAACCUGCUGCGUAGCCAACGUCCCGCUCCUAAUCCCCCUCUCUUGCCCUCCACCGUUCAUCAACGGCUCGAGCCUCACCCUAGGCCUCCUUCUCACAUACAUAGCACCAACACCUUUCGGUCCAUAGAUCUUGUGCCCACUCAUCGACAUGAAACUAACGUUCCACUUCUCAACAUCAACAGGUAUCUUCCCUAUAGCUUGAGCAGCAUCGGUAUGAAACGGAAUCUUAUGCUCCUUACAAAUCCUACCAAUCUCCUCCAUAGGUUGCACCACGCCAAUCUCAUUGUUCACAGCCAUAACCGAAACUAAACCGGUAUCCGGUCUAAUCGCCUCUCUCAACAUCUCUAAAUCAACUAAACCGUCGGUUUUAACCGGCAAGUACGUUACCUCGAACCCCUCCUGCUGCAAAUG
rnacentral:lncRNA from 1 species